rnacentral:rRNA from 1 species
AUUGAACGCUGGCGGAAUGCCUUACACAUGCAAGUCGAACGGCAGCAUAGGUGCUUGCACCUGAUGGCGAGUGGCGAACGGGUGAGUAAUACAUCGGAACGUGCCCAGUCGUGGGGGAUAACGUAGCGAAAGUUACGCUAAUACCGCAUACGAUCUAAGGAUGAAAGCGGGGGACCGUAAGGCCUCGCGCGAUUGGAGCGGCCGAUGUCAGAUUAGGUAGUUGGUGAGGUAAAGGCUCACCAAGCCGACGAUCUGUAGCUGGUCUGAGAGGACGACCAGCCACACUGGGACUGAGACACGGCCCAGACUCCUACGGGAGGCAGCAGUGGGGAAUUCUGGACAAUGGACGCAAGUCUGAUCCAGCCAUUCCGCGUGCAGGACGAAGGCCUUCGGGUCGUAAACUGCUUUUGUACGGAACGAAAAAGCUCUUACUAAUACUAGGAGUCCAUGACGGUACCGUAAGAAUAAGCACCGGCUAACUACGUGCCAGCCGCCGCUGUAA